GGGCAGCCUUUGAAAAGAUGCUUACACAAGUCACUGGCCAACUGUAGGUUCUCCCUCUGCCUCCUAGACUUCCCAAGAGCAAGGUCAAGUCCGUCUGGGUUCAGCACCUCUCACUGAUGGAGCUACAGCAGUGCAUCCUGGCUCAAACCAGCAGAAUUUUUGUCUGUGUCACAGGCUAAGAGGAGCAGGACCCGAGGUCCCAUCGGCCCUGGCAAGUAUGGUUAUGGGAAAGCCCCGUACAUCUUACCAUUGCAGACAGACUCUGCACACCCACCGCAGAGGCUUCGGCGGCAGAGGCCCUCAUCCCGGAAUUCCAGGUCCCAGGGGGCAUCUGGCUCUAGCCAUGACUACCACCCUUCAGCUCACCAGCGCCCCCAGCAUGGACCUCUGUACCAGAGUGACAGUGGCCCGCGUUCUGGACUGCAAGCCUCAGAGGGCUCUGUCUACCAGCUGCCUUUGACCCAUGACCAAGGCUUCCCUGCAGCCUCCAGUCUCUUCCACAGCCCAGAAGCAAGCAGCAGCCCUGGGCUGGGGCCCCCCAGGGCAGCUCAGAGCUUCUCCCAGCCCACCAGAUCUACAGCCAUCUCCUGCAUCGGGGCCUACCGGCAGUACAAGCUGUGCAACACGAACGUGUGUCCAGAAAGCAGUAGAAGUAUCUGGGAGGUACAGUGUGCAUCCUACAACAACAAGCCGUUCAUGGGCCGGUUUUAUGAAUGGGAACCAUUUGCAGAAGUCAAGGGCAAUCGGAAGUGUGAGCUGAACUGCCAGGCAAUGGGCUACCGCUUCUAUGUUCGGCAAGCUGAGAAGGUCAUUGAUGGUACCCCCUGUGACCAGAACGGGACGGCCAUCUGCGUGUCUGGGCAGUGCAAGGUAAGUGCCCCAGACUGGGGUGUCUGGAGUGGGUCUCGGGGUGUUUGAUCUGUGCCUGCAGACUGCACUGUUUGCCAGGCUGUGGCAUGCUUCCUCCCUAUCACCUAUGGUCAACCCCACCCCCCAACUCUGAACCAUGAGCUCUGGGAGAAGUGGAUUAAACAGGGCGGUCUGUUCUGCUCUGAGUUUUCGAUCUUUGGGAGUUGCCAGAUCUCACUCUGGCAUUUCGGUCAUUAAGUGAUUUACGUUUUCAUCAUGUGCGUCCUAAGAAACUCAGGGAUCUUUCCUUGUUGGAUCUGGAGCUUCUUCCUUACCUCUGAAGAGGAGGUUAUGAAAAGGGCACUGCUGGAUCAGUCAAGAGGUGGUUGGCGUCGUCAGGGUGGCAUUUUAAGGGCAUGGCAUAUUUUAUCUUGCCUCCCACCAGCUGGGGCAGGCUUCCAAAUGAAAGCCGUCUAGUGCCUUUAUAGCCAAAGCUGUACUUUCAACAGGAAGUUUUCAGCCUCCCUGGACUUCUGAAGUCUGUUCCAAGAACUCCCCACCCUGCAUUCUGCAAACAUUCUGGGCUGGAGAGAAUCCUUGUGGGAUGCUACCCUUUCACAGAAAAGCACCAUUUGCUUAAAACAGGCGCACCAGAGAGAUGGCACCAGUUCCACAGUAUAUUCACUGGGGCCUGGACGCCCACCCUCCUUUCAUCUAUAAAUGUAAGCGUGGAGGUCUGACUCUUGCAGGUAAAUGACUUUUUGGAGCCCAGGCUAAGACUCUAUCUUAAUUAGCACUCAAUGGCAGGCAGGACUGAGUUUCAUCAAAGGAAGGGCUCUUUGGCUGUCACAUCUGAACGUUUCAAUGUAAAUUGUUGCACUGUUUAGUAUUAGAGCUACUCAAGUAUGAUUUAUAAGCACCUCAUUCCCCCUCCCGCCUUUUUCUUCAUGAGGUUUUAAAUAGAAUACAAACUAAUUUAUCAAAGCAGUAUGAAUAUUCUGGGGCUUCUCAGGUGGCUCAGUGGUGAAGAAUUCACCUGCAGCGCAGGAGAUGCGGGUUCAAUACCUAGGUUGGGAAAAUCCCUGGGAGAUGGAAGUGGCAAGCUACUGCAGUAUUCUUGCCUGGGAAAUCCCAUGGACAGAGGAGCCUGGUGGGUUACAGUCCAUGGGGUCACAAAGAGUCGGAAAGGACUCAGCAACUAAACAGCAACAACAUGGAUAGUCUGAGACUGUGAAUAAAGAAAGGAAAAAGCUGUCAUUUGAUAUUUGAUGCAUGUGACGUUGCCUUUGGACAGACAAGAAACCCACAAAGUUUCGAGAUGGAGUUCAAAAGAGUCAAGGAAUAUGGUGGGGAGCACACUGGAGGCUGAGACCUAUCUGGCCCCAGUUUCGACUCCUUUGGGAAAAACCACUGGGUUUCAUGCGUCCCCUCUAUCGUUACUGUCUUCAGAUAAUACUGAAGGAAGUCCCAUUAGAGCUCGUAAUUUCUGACUCAACUAGUCCCUUCUUCUACAUGUUAACUGAGCCUGAAAAGCACUUUAUAGCGACCUAGCUUUUCUUUCGGAUCCUGAAUCAACAGUUAAUUUCCUGAAUACAAGUGCACACUGCUGAGAGAUGUGAUAGUGCAGUGGUUAAAAACAUGCCUCUGAAGUCAGACCGCUUGGAUUCAGUCCUGCUUUGGUCAUUGACUGUGUAACCUUGCACAAGUCCCAUGAGCUCUCGGUGCCCCUACAUCACCUACAGCACGAGGAGGAUGGUACCGACCUCCUGCUUUGUAGUGAAGAGUCAUGAGCCAAACACGUAUGGUCCUCAUAUCAGGUCUGGCACUUAGUAAAGCAGGCUGGCUUUUCCUGGUAUUAUGUUCACUUAUGCCCACAUAUGACCUGUUGUAUUUGAAUUUUUUAUGCAGAAGUAUUUGAAUUUUUUAGCAGAUUAUAGAUUUGUGAGAUUCACAUUAUCCUAUUUUGCAGAAAAAUGGAAAUACUUUAAUUGACAGAUACAUCUUUAUAAUAAUUUUUCCUUAUAUAUUUUGGCUGCG
ensembl:lincRNA